CAGGCUGAGGAUUUCGGUUGUCACGGAGGUAGACAAAAGCGUUUGAUGAUGUCAUCUUGAAAGGCAGCAACAGCGAUGGGCAGAGGAACAGGAGAAAAAUGUGUGCUUAUUUCAAGAAAGGCGAGCCUUUUCAUAGUGAGUGAUUAUUUCAAACAUCGGUGCCUCCAUGAGCAAGCCGAGACCAAAGAACCAUUUUACCUUGUGUCUGGAAAGCUGGACGGAGCAGCACAGCUGGUGUCAGCUGGCAGGUGGCAGGUGUUUGGCGUGGCGGGGUACGCAGUAGGUUGAAGGCCAAUGAAAAGGAUAACGUCAAACAAAAGUUUCCUUAUCGAAAUAGGAUCUCGGGCUCUCCACUGCACCAGACGAGGCAGGCUGCAUGGAGGACGUGCUUGCUUCCUGGGUCAGAACCACGAAGGGGCGGGAGUCUGCUGAUGCUUAGUUCGAGAGCCGGCCAUCGCACUGUCCCUGGCCACCCAGAAGGACUCAAGAUGGCCUGGGGUCCCGGGUGCCUUGGGAUGCCUGGCAAGACCUCCCUGCCCAGGAUCUGGAGCAUACCACAGGUGGCGAGGGAAAGGCACAGGGUCUCUGCAGAGAAGUGAGUCCUGGGGCAUGAAGAAUUCUCUCUGUUUGCAGAUCGCUGCCCUGGAGAGGUUGGGGGAAGACAAUGCGAACAGGUCACUCCCUCCUACACAGCAAGUUACGGAAUGACCUGGGGACAAAGAACCAAACCACAGUCUGUGGUUUUUCAAAGCUGUUUGCAUAGUGCUUUCCCUUCCCAGCACAGUCACACUCUGCAUUCACAUUGGAAGGACUUACUAAUGCCCCUAACUAAUGCUGGGAACAAUGGCAUUGACAUAAGCAGGCUCUGAGCACUUGGAUGCUCCGGGGACAAUGGGACAACAUGGGGACAACACGGGGACAACAACAAUGGGGCAACACGGGGACAAUGGGACCCCGUGUUGAUGUUGAACGAGUGCCAUUCAACAGUAGGAAGCACGGAAAGCGACAAGGCGGCAGAUGGUUGAGGCGGGGCUGGGGGAGAGAACACAGGGCUCCCCUCCUCUCUGGCAACCACGUCUGUCCUUUGUAUUGAUGGGUCUCUCUUUGUUCUGUUUCUCAGAGUCCACGUCUCUGUGGAAUCACAGGGUCCUUGUCUUCUUCCUUCUGACUUACUUCCCUUAGCAAAGCACCCUGUGGGUUCCUCAAAAAGUUAAACAUAGAAAUGCCAUAUGAUUUAGUGAUUCCACACCUGGGUAUUUAUCACCCCCUCCCAACGAACACAUAAAUUCAGAAAGAUAUAAACACCCCUACGUUUCUUUGCAGCAUUACUUACAAUAGCCAAGAUAAGGAAGCAGCCCGUGUCCAUUGGUGCAUGAAUGGGUAAUGUGGUCUGGACGUACAACGCGACAUUAUGCCGUCUUAAAAAGGAGGAAGUCCUGCCUUUUGGGACAACAUGGAUGGACCUUGAGGGCAUCAAGUGAGAUACCCAAGGAGCAGCAGGACAAAUGUUGUACCGUCUCACUUAUACAUGGAAUCAGCAACAAGUUACACUCGCGGAAGCCGAGAGUAGAAUGGUGGUGGCCAGAGGCUAGGUUCUGGGUAUGUGGGGAGAUGUUGGAUAGAGGCAUCAGUGUUCGGUGAUGCGAACAAUAAGUCCUUGGGAUCUAAUGCACGGCCAGGGGGUUUAAUAUCUUAUUUAUUUAUUUGUCAGAGAGAGAGCACAAGCAGGGGGAGCAGCAGACGGAGAGGGAGAAGCAGGCUCCCCGCUGAGCAAGGAGCCCUAUGCGGGGCUCAGUCCCAGGACCCUGGGAUCAUGCCCUCAGCCAAAGGCAGAUGCAUCCCCGAGUGAGCCCCCCAGGUGCCCCCAGCAAGGCAGUUAUGCUUGAUGACAGCCUAUCGUGCACCAGGAGUUUGCUAAGAGAGUAGAUCGCAGGUGUGCAGGCAUACGGGUGGGUGUGAGGUGAUGCCUUAACUGGAUUAUGGUGAUCAGUUCACAGUGUCUGUGUGUCUCAAAUCAUCACACUGUAGACCUUAUAAAUAGAUACAAUUUUAUAUGUCUGUUGUACAUCAGUAACGUUGGCAGAAAAGAGAUGUUUCUUCUCUAAGAAAUGAAAGACCAACUCAAGAUCAUUCUACAAUCAAUCUUUUUUUCCCCAAAGGCUUUUAUUUUUAAUUUUUUUAAAUAUUAAUCUUUUAUUAUGUCAUGUU